CCCUGUCUUAUGAGUUCCGCCUCCCUGAAGUCAUCAGGAAAUUUGCUUCCCCAGAGACCUCAGCAUCAGAACGAAGGCAUGAUGCCUAGGAUCUGCCACUGAGAUGCUCCCAGGCAAAAGUUUAAUCAGAAAAGAUGAACCACAGGAAGGAGGUGAUGCCUGGGACCCAUUUGCUGGCAAGGAUGAUGGCAGACACAUCUAGUCUUCUGGGGUACCAGUUGUUGUAAGGCUUCUUCUCAGCUGUCCAAAGAAUAGAGACUUCCCAGGCAGUCCAGGUGUUAAGACUCGGCACUUCCACUGCACUGGAUGAGGGUUUGGUCCCUGGUCUGGGAACUUAGUUCCCUCAUGCCAUACCACGUGACCAAAAUACACAUAUAUUUUGAUCACCUUCUUAACGUCUUGAUAGUUCCUCCCUGUGUAGAUCCUGUCUUCUCAACAAUAAAUAAACAAA